rnacentral:rRNA from 1 species
CUGGGAGGACCAUCUCCUAAGGCUAAAUACUCUCUAGUGACCGAUAGUGAACCAGUACCGUGAGGGAAAGGUGAAAAGCACCCCGGAAGGGGAGUGAAAUAGAACCUGAAACCGUGUGCUUACAAGUAGUCAGAGCCCGUUAAUGGGUGAUGGCGUGCCUUUUGUAGAAUGAACCGGCGAGUUACGAUUUGAUGCAAGGUUAAGCAGUAAAUGUGGAGCCGUAGCGAAAGCGAGUCUGAAUAGGGCGUUUAGUAUUUGGUCGUAGACCCGAAACCAGGUGAUCUACCCUUGGUCAGGUUGAAGUUCAGGUAACACUGAAUGGAGGACCGAACCGACUUACGUUGAAAAGUGAGCGGAUGAACUGAGGGUAGCGGAGAAAUUCCAAUCGAACCUGGAGAUAGCUGGUUCUCUCCGAAAUAGCUUUAGGGCUAGCCUCAAGUGAUGAUUAUUGGAGGUAGAGCACUGUUUGGACGAGGGGCCCCUCUCGGGUUACCGAAUUCAGACAAACUCCGAAUGCCAAUUAAUUUAACUUGGGAGUCAGAACAUGGGUGAUAAGGUCCGUGUUCGAAAGGGAAACAGCCCAGACCACCAGCUAAGGUCCCAAAAUAUAUGUUAAGUGGAAAAGGAUGUGGCGUUGCCCAGACAACUAGGAUGUUGGCUUAGAAGCAGCCAUCAUUUAAAGAGUGCGUAAUAGCUCACUAGUCGAGUGACACUGCGCCGAAAAUGUACCGGGGCUAAACAUAUUACCGAAGCUGUGGAUUGUCCUUUGGACAAUGGUAGGAGAGCGUUCUAAGGGCGUUGAAGCAUGAUCGUAAGGACAUGUGGAGCGCUUAGAAGUGAGAAUGCCGGUGUGAGUAGCGAAAGACGGGUGAGAAUCCCGUCCACCGAUUGACUAAGGUUUCCAGAGGAAGGCUCGUCCGCUCUGGGUUAGUCGGGUCCUAAGCUGAGGCCGACAGGCGUAGGCGAUGGAUAACAGGUUGAUAUUCCUGUACCACCUAUAAUCGUUUUAAUCGAUGGGGGGACGCAGUAGAAUAGGCGAAGCGUGCGAUUGGAUUGCACGUCUAAGCAGUAAGGCUGAGUAUUAGGCAAAUCCGGUACUCGUUAAGGCUGAGCUGUGAUGGGGA